CCGGCAGAGAGCAGCAUUUGUUUUAAAUCUGGAAAAUCUAUACUUAUUGUAUUUUUUAAUAAGGAUUUUUGUGGAGUUAUGAAUUGCAUCACCGUAGAGCUUCCAACAUUCACAUCACAUUUGCCAAUCUUUCUUCGGUGACGGCAUACGACAGUUUUUAAAUCGUUGUGAUGGUUUUUUGAGACGCACAAAUCAUAUGAUUUUUCCCUCCCCUCCCACAGUUAUGACAUCGAUCGAUUUUAUUUUUGGGAAACGUAGUUCCUAGAGAGUAAAUUCCAAUUACUAUGGUGUAAUUAGUUUUGUUUUUGUUUUAGAGUCGUUAGCCGUUAUAUAAAUUACUACGGGUGUUUUAUGUUUUCGGUUAUUAGCUUAGUAAACUUUUGGAUGAUAUUUUUUUAGUUUAAAUAAAGAUAUAAAUUAUG